AAAGUGAGAGAUGGCAUACAUAGGAGAGCCUAGAGAGUUGGGCUAGUAGAUUAGGAUGGAUUGGGAGAAGAGGAGAGUGGAUUUCGAUCAAAAACAGAUGGGAGGAGCAAAGAGAGAGUUUUGGAAAACAGAUAGAAACUUAGUGGGUGUGAGAGGAAAACUUAGUUUGGUCUUGUCUCUGUGUAAGGUUCCGAGGAGGUCGUUGUUGAUCCACAAGAGUAGGCAACAGAGCUAGAGCUUGGGUUUGCGCUGCGCAAUUCGAGGUGUUUUCUCGAAGUGUUUUGGAAAUCUUAUAAUGCAAAUUAGAACCUUCUUGCUUUUGUUUGUAAAUAGAGUUGAAUAAAAAAUAGACGUUAUGAGGAGUAACGCUAUUCUUGUUUUGGUUUGUUUGCUGUUUGUUUGUAAAUACUUUAAACAUGUGUGCUUUUAGCACCCUUUUUAAAGGUUUGUAAUAUAAAUAAAGGUGCGAUCGUUUCUUUUCUUACGUCAUGUAAUGAUAUCAGUCUCAUUUUAAUUAUGGAUAUUAAACUGUCUGUAAUUAGAGUGUGAUUCACAUCUCAACUCGAGAUUAUACAUUUACUCGAGUUGGGGUGUGACAAUUUCUUGCACCCAAAAAUAAAAAUUACAAAUCAAUGUUGUAUAAGCUAUUGUAGUG